UACGUAGGGGGCAAGCGUUGUCCGGAAUCAUUGGGCGUAAAGCGCGCGUAGGCGGCCCGGUAAGUCCGUUGUGAAAGUCAAAGGCUCAACCUUUGAAUGCCGACGGAUACUGCCGGGCUAGAGUACGGAAGAGGUGAGUGGAAUUCCUGGUGUAGCGGUGAAAUGCGCAGAUAUCAGGAGGAACACCAAUGGCGAAGGCAGCUCACUGGGACGGUAUUGACGCUGAGACGCGAAAAGCAUGGGGGAGCGAACAGG
rnacentral:rRNA from 1 species